GUGUACCUACGGGGGGCAGCAGUUAGGAAUAUUCGUCAAUGGGGGAAACCCUGAACGAGCAAUGCCGCGUGAAGGAUGACGGUCCUAUGGAUUGUAAACUUCUGUUGUUAGGGAAGAACGACCUAAGUAGGAAAUGACUUAGGAGUGACGGUACCUUUCAAGAAAGCUCCGGCUAACUACGUGCCAACAGCCGCGGUAAUACGUAGGGAGCGAGCGUUAUCCGGAUUUAUUGGGUGUAAAGGUUGCUUAGGCGGCUUCUUAAGUCUGUAGUCUA
rnacentral:rRNA from 1 species